rnacentral:rRNA from 1 species
CUACGGGGCGCUCCAGUGGGGAAUAUUGCACAAUGGAGGAAACUCUGAUGCAGCAACGCCGCGUGGAGGAUGACACUUUUCGGAGCGUAAACUCCUUUUAUAUAGGAAGAAGAUGACGGUACUAUAUGAAUAAGCGCCGGCUAACUCCGUGCCAGCAGCCGCGGUAAUACGGAGGGCGCAAGGUUACUCGGAAUCACUGGGCGUAAAGAGAGUGUAGGCGGAUUAAAAAGUCAGAAGUGAAAUCCUAUAGCUUAACUAUAGAACUGCUUCUGAAACUCUUAAUCUAGAAUAUGGGAGAGGUAGAUGGAAUUUCUGGUGUAGGGGUAAAAUCCGUAGAGAUCAGAAGGAAUACCGAUUGCGAAGGCGAUCUACUAGAACAUUAUUGACGCUGAGACGCGAAAGCGUGGGGAGCAAACAGGAUUAGAUACCCUAGUAGUC